GAGAUGCAGCUGAGUGAUCUUCUUUUCUUGCUCAAGAAGUCGGGAAAUCUCGUCGGGAAUCCCUUCAACAUCAUCUUCGUCCGCUUCGAAUACAGGGAAUUCAAAAUUGGGAGAUGACGUCCGAUCCUUAUGUUCAAUGGGUUUGAGAAACAACCUGCAUAAUGAUUUAGAGAUGAAAAGCUCUUUGAAAAUCAAACAAGACAAUCGUUAUGCAGAUGAAAAGAUUGCUUUU
rnacentral:lncRNA from 1 species